GACGAACGCUGGCGGCGUGCUUAACACAUGCAAGUCGUACGGUAAGGCCCUUUCGGGGGUACACGAGUGGCGAACGGGUGAGUAACACGUGCGUAACCUGCCCACAACUUUGGGAUAACGCUAGGAAACUGGUGCUAAUACUGGAUAUGUGCUCCUGCUGCAUGGUGGGGGUUGGAAAGCUCCGGCGGUUGUGGAUGGACUCGCGGCCUAUCAGCUUGUUGGUGGGGUAGUGGCCUACCAAGGCGGCGACGGGUAGCCGGCCUGAGAGGGUGACCGGCCACAUUGGGACUGAGAUACGGCCCAGACUCCUACGGGAGGCAGCAGUGGGGAAUAUUGCACAAUGGGCGCAAGCCUGAUGCAGCAACGCCGCGUGCGGGAUGACGGCCUUCGGGUUGGAAACCGCUUUCAGCAGGGACGAAGCUUUUUGUGACGGUACCUGCAGAAGAAGCACCGGCUAACUACGUG
rnacentral:rRNA from 1 species